rnacentral:rRNA from 1 species
AACGUAGGAGACAAACGUUAUCCGGAGUUACUGGGCGUAAAGGGCGUGUAGGUGGUUUCGUAAGUCUGGCGUGAAAUUUCUCGGCUUAACCGAGGCAGGUCGUCGGAUACUGCGAGGCUAGAGGACGGUAGAGGCGUGUGGAAUUCCGGGUGUAGUGGUGAAAUGCGUAGAUAUCGGGAGGAGCACCAGUGGCGAAGGCGACUUCCUGGCCUGUUCUUGACGCUGAGGCGCGAAAGCUAGGGGAGCAAACGGG